UCCCCUAUCCCAUCCGCGCGCCGCCACCCACAUCGGGAUCGCCCGAUCCAACUAGAGCAAGCCCUUGUCCCCGUGCCGGCCUCCCAUGUUCCGAUCCAGAGGAAUCAAGAGCAACAGCAGGAGCUCCUCCCGUGCCCGAGCUCCCUGGUACCCCACGUUGUCCCUGCCCUUGGCGUUCGACCGCUCCGGUAACCAGCCGCCGCUUGCUGGAGCACCAAAUCAGCAACAGCUCCGCUGCACGUGCUACUUUGUCCUCCAGCGAGACCCUGUUGGCGACCGCCACGAGGCAGACCUCACCGUCGCCUUUCGCCAUGCCGCGGCGCACCCACACGGUCCUGCCAAGGCCGUCGUACCUCGCGUCAUCCCUAGCUUCCCCAAGCGCCCAAUGGGAGGAGCCCCUGGAGUAGUCGGAACUCCCUCCACGUUCGUGUACGGGCAGGAGCUCGUCGCGAGCGGACCGGCCGCCUCCCGUCCAACGCAUCCCCGAGGACCUACAGGACCAGCAUCGUUCCUCCCGCCUCUCUUUUCUCUGCCCUCUUGCUUCUCUUUUAUCUAUCUUAGAGCUCCCUAUCUCGUCUUCUUUCUUGCAGAAGAACGUCUAGGAACGGCCGCAUCAAGCACCACCAGAUCGAGUCUCAUUGCUCGACCGAGCUACCGCCAUGCACACCCGCGCCCCUGUUGUUCAUGUGCGUCUUCGUAGGAUCUGCGCCAUGGCCCGCCUCUGUCACUCCCAAGUCCCAUCGCCAGCAGUUGCUCACCAUGGUUUGCCUCAUCUUCGUCCAGAGAAGAGGAGGAACAUGUCACCAGCAACCGCGUUGACCGCCCCUCGCCUUGCCCUGGACCACCAUGCCGGCCCAGCAAGGUGAAAAUUGCCGCCCACCAGUAGUCUGCACGCCCGUCAUAGCUCAUCUGCCCAUGUCGCCGUUGCAUUUGCUCGUCGGAUACAUCUCUAGUUUUCGUGUUCGAUGUGGGGAACAAAGCUCGACUAUUUAGUCGCUUUGACAAACCAGUGCCUCAAUCAGUGGCAUGUACAACGCAGUAGCGCAGUGGCUAGCGCCUCAUGUUCCCAUCUAGGGUGUCCUUGGUUCAAAACCAGCUCACCCCAUAUAUUUUUGUUUGUUUAUUUGUUUUUUCCAGCUCUAUGAUGUUGCUCUCACAUCUAUUGGACAAGUAGCAGUAGGUUUCGGCCAUGUAGUUUAUAUUUUUUGUCCCAGCCACAUCAAUAUUAUUUUGCAAGCAUGUUGCACCCAUUGUAUCUGUGUUGCUCGUAUCUUUUAGACCGUAACUCAGUUGGAGACUAGCUAUAUAUGUAACCAACUAGAAUGACGGGCUUCACCUCUUGCCAUGUUAAACAACAUUUAAUCUUGACGGGUCACUAAACGAGAGUGAACUAAGUAAUUAAAAUGUGGAGUUUCGUCAAUAUGCAACGAGUUGCAUAUUGAGCUUCACUUAAUGUGUAGUGUUUGAUUGUUGUGAAUUUCCAUGCCAUGCCGCGCAUAAUUAAAAUGGACAUGCAUCAUAUUAGGGUGUGCAUCAUGUCAUGUAUAUUGUGGUGUUAUCGUGUGUUGAUUCUUGUUUCCGGUUUGCUUCAUCUCGAUAGAGUUCUACAAACAUGUCAGAAUGUGAGCAUCCGUUCGACUACAUCGGUUCGUCUACUUCACGGGUUCGUUCUUCUUCCGAGCAGGAUCACAGGCAAAAUGACCAUUUCCCUAGAUACCAUUACUAUCAAUGUCAUGCUAGUUGUAUCAUUUCUUUCGUUAUGUCUCGUUGCCUACCACAUGUUAAAUGUGAGCCUCUCAACAUUGCCAUGAAACCUUCAACCUCCUACAACCUAGCAAACCACUGAUUGGCUAUGUUACCGCUUGCUUAACCAUGUGUUAGCGUUGCUAGUUGCAGGUGUCGUUGAUUCCAUGUGAUAACAUCGGUUGCUUGUUAUAUCACCAUAUAAUUGUUACUUAAAUUAAUGGACCUAUAUACUUGGUAAAAGGUGGAAGGCUCAGCUUUCUAGCCUGGUGUUUUGUUCCACCUUUGUCGCCUUAGUUUCGUCUACCGGUGUUGUAUUCCAUAAUUGAGCGCUCCUAACACGAUCAGGUUUAUUAUGGGGACCCCCUGAUAAUUCUUCUUAGUUAAAGCUUGUCUCGCAAGGCCCAACUUUGGUACUACAUUUGCCUAAUAACCUAAUAAAAUUGCAUAGGGACUUUUCGGAUCCCGUGGAUAAUUUACCAACCCUCGGGCGAGUGCUCCACAUGAGUGUUGAUCCGAAAAGGGCAGAGUACGGGGCCGCCAUGGGGCAACUCGAGGUUUGGGUUUACUCGUAGUGUGAUCCAUCCAGUCGUGUCCUGAGAACGAGAUAUGAGGCUCCUAUCGGGUUCAUCGACAUGUCGGACGGCCUUGCUGGAUUUGUUUUAACUUUUAUGAAAUAUCUUGUGCAUCGGGAUACCAGUGAUGCUUGGGGCUAUCUCAGAGUUGAGGUUUUCCACUAAGUAUUCCGAGAGAUCACGAGUUUCAUGAUCGAGGCUUUCUAUGCGGUUUGUGGUAAUUUGUGAUGGACUAGUUGGAGCACCCCUACAGGGUUAAAUCUUUUUAAAGUCGUGCCUGCGGUUAUGUGGCAAACUUGGAAACUUUGUUUAACAUCCGGUUCUAGAUAACUUGAAGUAAGCUUAAUUAAAAUAUGCCAAUUGUGUGCAUAACCGUGAUUGUCUCUUUCGAGAGCUCCUUCUCCUAUUGAGGACACGGUGGGGUUACGUCUGACGUAAGUAAUUGUUCAGGAUCAUUCAUUUGAUCAGUACUAGUUCACGUCCGUUGUGCGUAGAUCAUCCCCCUCUUUCAUUCUUGUACUCGUAAGUUAGCCACCUCAAACAAAUGCUUAGUCACUUGUUGCAGCCUCACCACUUAACCAUACCUCACCCAUUAAGCUUUGCUAGUAUUGAUACCUUUGGAAAUGAGAUUGUUGAGUCCAUGUGGCUCACAGAUUACUACAACAACAGUUGCAGGUACAGGUAAAGCGAUACUUUGACGUGGGCGCGAUGAUUGUUCUGUUUGGAGUUUCUUCUUCUUAUUCUUCAUCGAUCUAUGAUGGGUUCCAGGACGGCAGCCUGGGAUAGCAAGGAUGGACGUCAAUCUUUUAUCGUUUGUUUUCGUUCGUAGUCGGACCCUUCUCUUCUUCAUGAUGGAUGUAUAUUGCUGUUUUGAUGUGAACUUGAUGUAGCUUGUGGUGAAUGUAAGUCAAUUCCAUAUACUUAUCUAUUCUAUACAUGUACUUGUAACGAUAUCCAUUCUUGCAAAACGACGAGAUGCGCUUCUAUCCCUGUCGAGGUCCUCGCGCCAAAUAAGGAUAGAGUCGUAUCUUGGGCGUUACAAGUUGGUAUCAGAGCAAUACCGACCUAGGAGCCCCCUUGUUGAUCGAACUUGGCC
rnacentral:lncRNA from 1 species